rnacentral:rRNA from 1 species
UACGUAGGGUGCAAGCGUUAAUCGGAAUUACUGGGCGUAAAGCGUGCGCAGGCGGUUAUGCAAGACAGAUGUGAAAUCCCCGGGCUCAACCUGGGAACUGCAUUUGUGACUGCAUGGCUAGAGUACGGUAGAGGGGGAUGGAAUUCCGCGUGUAGCAGUGAAAUGCGUAGAUAUGCGGAGGUACACCGAUGGCGAAGGCAAUCCCCUGGACCUGUACUGACGCUCACGCACGAAAGCGUGGGGAGCAAACAGG